CUGCCCCUCAAAAGUUAAGGCUCUGAAUCCAGAGACUUUCCUGGAUCAAGCAGAAAACACAAUUCAUUCACAACUUUAGUAACUGAUUGGGAAAGGAUAAUUCUUCAGUCUGGGGCAAUCUGUAAACUUAUUUAAAAAACUGCAGAACUCUACUAGCUUAAGUUGAACUAAAUGUCUACUAUAAAUUUAAAAUAUCAAAAAAUACAGCGAGGGUUAACUUCAAAGUCUUCAUGAUUGACAUAAUUCCUAGAGAUUUUGCUGCUCCAAGUGCCUCCUUCCAUGCCAUAGAAGCAUCAGCUGGAAAAAGCUCAAA